AUUGAACGCUGGCGGCAUGCCUUACACAUGCAAGUCGAACGGUAACAGGUCUUCGGAUGCUGACGAGUGGCGAACGGGUGAGUAAUACAUCGGAACGUGCCCAGUCGUGGGGGAUAACGAAGCGAAAGCUUUGCUAAUACCGCACACGAUCUACGGAUGAAAGCGGGGGAUCGCAAGACCUCGCGCGAUUGGAGCGGCCGAUGGCAGAUUAGGUAGUUGGUGGGGUAAAGGCUUACCAAGCCUACGAUCUGUAGCUGGUCUGAGAGGACGACCAGCCACACUGGGACUGAGACACGGCCCAGACUCCUAUGGGAGGCAGCAGUGGGGAAUUUUGGACAAUGGGCGCAAGCCUGAUCCAGCAAUGCCGCGUGCAGGAUGAAGGCCUUCGGGUUGUAAACUGCUUUUGUACGGAACGAAAAGCUCUGGGUUAAUACCCUGGGGUCAUGACGGUACCGUAAGAAUAAGCACCGGCUAACUACGUGCCAGCCGCCGCCGUAA
rnacentral:rRNA from 1 species